CUUCUCAGUUCUGCAGGGGUUGUACACUCUGCAUACAACGUUGUUUUUACUGUGGAUGCUGUAUCAGCAGCUUUGAUUAUGAGGAGGAUUUCUGUCUAGAUAUAAUUUGUAAGAAUUGUUGGAACAAGAUGCUAAGUUCUCAAGAUGAGGUAUCAGUUGUGUCUCGUUGGCUAGUCAAGAUGAAACAUUAAACGCUUGUUUGACUUUGAAUUGCCUGCUGCAAUUUACACGAUUUCACUGUCUAGAUAAGAUUGGCGUGUAUAUGAGAUAUAUAGCCCACCAACCAUAAGUAAAGAUGCUAUGAAAUUCAAGAGAUUCUUAUUUAAAAAAAAAUGAAAUUCAAGAGAUUCGUGAAGAUAACGAACUAUGUGCAGCAUGUGAUGUGAGCAAGGAUGGUUAUUGUUGCUGAUUUGGCUGUGACUUCUUAACUAAAUUAGUUCCAUGAACAACAGUUCAUUUGGAGAGGAAGGAAAGACAGCGGUAAGAGGGCUUCAAAGUUUUCAAGAGAAAAUAAAGGUGAAGGGCAAGCAUAAAAGCGGAAGAAAAAUCGUAUGUUCUUCAUAUUGUCCAGAGUUGGAAUAAGUCCUGUGAGCUUGCAUUCAGUGAAUCCUCACGACACUGGUGAGCUUGUUGGUGGAAAUGAAGUUGAACCUGUAUUAUUAUCCAUAUUGGUGGAUAUGGUAAUUUUCUAAUGUGAAUUUUGGAAUUGUUUAAUUGCUCGGAUAGCUAACAUGUCCACUCCGAGCCAAAGACUGCAAUGGAGCUGGAAGAAAAAAUACAGGUAUUUCAUGGUUCCAGGUGCAAGAAAUAGCCAGCAAUCAUGUAUAGAGAUUCUGAGCAAGUGAAAAACUUCACAGAGAUUCUUAUCUCCAUGGACAACAGUUCUUAACAGACAUUGCCUCCAGAGGUUGAGCAAAUCCUGGGAGCUUGCGUUCAGUGAAUCCCUACGAGAUUGGUGAGCUUGUUGACGGAAAUAAAGUCGAGCUUGUAUUCUUAUCCACAUUGGUGGAUAUGAUAAUUUUCAUAUGAAAUUUGGGAAUUGUUUAAUUGCUGUUGGAUAUCUAGCAGGUCCACUCCGAGCCAAAGACUGCAAUGGAGCUGGAAGAAAAAAUACGGGUAAUCAUGGUUCUGGGUGCAAGAAAUAGCCAGCAGUCAUGCAUAGAGAUUCUGAGCAAGUGAAGAAAUUUUAUGGAGAUUCAUUCUCCAUGGAAAACAGUUCUUAACAGACAUUGCCUCCAGAGGUGGAGCAAAUCCUGGGAGCUUGCAUUCAGUGAAUCCCGACGAGACUGCAGGUCCACUCUGAGCCAAAGACUGCAACAGAGCUGGAAGAAAAAAUAUGGCUAAUCAUGGUUCUGGGUGCUAGAAAUAGCCUACAACAGUUCUUAACAGCCAUUAUCUCCAUAUAUGGAGCAAAUCCUGGGAGCUUGCAUCAAGUAAAAUCCUGAGGACAUCCAGUAGUUAUUUGCAGGCUUGCUCAUGGGAACGAAGUGGAGAGUGUUUGUGUUCAGGAUGUCUAAACAGCUUUCUGUAGAACUGGGAAUUGUAUAGUUUCCAAAGGACGUAUAGCAGAUGUGCAUAAUCAAGCCCGAAGACUGUGGUGUGCUGGGAGAAGAACAAAUCUGCUAUACUGUUUCUGUCGAUCGAAUAAGGCAGGGAAACUCGAGUUUGUGCUUCUGAUGCAACUGAGUAGAUCUGUUAUUUUUUCAUAAGAUCUUGUUGGAAAAAUGUUAAUGUACUUGAUGGUGAUUCUACUCUUUGUUGCUGGUUUGAUAGUCCUGUGAUGCAACUGUGUUAAUCUGUGUUUUCUUUAGAAAAAUAGAUAAAUAAGAUCUUGUUGCCCAAGAAAAUGUUAAAAUCUGGGGUGAUAGCUCUUCUGCUAUA